CGGGUGAGUAACACGUGGAUAACCUACCUAUAAGACUGGGAUAACUUCGGAAAACCGGAGCUAAUACCGGAUAAUAUAUUGAACCGCAUGGUUCAAUAGUGAAAGACGGUUUUGCUGUCACUUAUAGAUGGAUCCGCGCUGCAUUAGCUAGUUGGUAAGGUAACGGCUUACCAAGGCAACGAUGCGUAGCCGACCUGAGAGGGUGAUCGGCCACACUGGAACUGAGACACGGUCCAGACUCCUACGGGAGGCAGCAGCG
rnacentral:rRNA from 1 species